rnacentral:rRNA from 1 species
CACGUAGGCACCAAGCGUUGUCCGGAUUUAUUGGGCGUAAAGAGCUCGUAGGCGGUUCAGUAAGUCAGGUGUGAAAUCUUUGGGCUUAACCCAAAGCGUGCACUUGAUACUGCUGUGACUUGAGUUCGGUAGGGGAGUGGGGAAUUCCUAGUGUAGCGGUGAAAUGCGCAGAUAUUAGGAGGAACACCGGUGGCGAAGACGCCACUCUGGGCCGAAACUGACGCUGAGGAGCGAAAGCGUGGGUAGCAAACAGG